UCCCCGGUCCCGGUCCGGUUCCCCCAGCCGAGCCCGCGGCCGCGCGGGUCCAGGAGCUGCAGCUGCAGCGCGGAGACUUCGAGAUCCUCAAAGUGAUCGGGAGAGGCGCCUUCAGCGAGGUGGCCGUGGUGAGGAUGAGGGAGACCGGGCAGAUCUACGCCAUGAAGAUCAUGAACAAGUGGGACAUGCUGCGCAAGGGAGAGGUGUCCUGUUUCCGCGAGGAGCGGGACGUGCUGGCGCGCGGGGACCGGCGCUGGAUCACGCGGCUGCACUUCGCCUUCCAGGACCCGCACUGCCUGUACCUGGUGAUGGAGUACU